rnacentral:rRNA from 1 species
AUGUUACACGAACUAGAGGUAUGUGCAUGUGAAGAGCUUAUGGAAGGUAGAAAAGUGUUGAAUAUUGUACCUAGUAUUUGCCAAGACCAUUUUUAUGAUUCAAAAAGGUGUUGUUCAAGGAAUGCCCAAAUGAGACAUUUUAAGAGAAAGACAUGUGUCCUCUUUAAGCUGAACAAGUGGAGGCAAGAAAUGGCUCAGCUCACUCAAGUUUUUUUACCACUUGUAUUUGCCCUGAUUGUUCGAGCUAUAUUAUAUUUAAUGAGAUAUAGACCUAUCCAGUCCAUCCAAUCGAGGAAAAACUCAUGGCUUCUAAAAGUUGGAUGGCCAUCUCCCAUCCAACUUCAUCAGAGCAACCAAAGGUUACCUAAAGAUAUGGUAGUCAUCCAAUGA